AACGAACGCUGGCGGCAUGCCUAACACAUGCAAGUCGAACGAGACCUUCGGGUCUAGUGGCGCACGGGUGCGUAACGCGUGGGAACCUGCCCUUAGGUUCGGAAUAACUCCCCGAAAGGGGUGCUAAUACCGGAUAAUGUCUUCGGACCAAAGAUUUAUCGCCUUUGGAUGGGCCCGCGUUGGAUUAGCUAGUUGGUAGGGUAAAAGCCUACCAAGGCGACGAUCCAUAGCUGGUCUGAGAGGAUGAUCCGCCACACUGGGACUGCGACACGGACCAGAAUCCUACGGAAGGCAGCAGUGGGGAAUAUUGGACGAUGGGCGAAAGCCUGAUCCAGCCAUGCCGCGUGAGUGAUGAAGGCCUUAGGGUUGUAAAGCUCUUUUACCCGGGAUGAUAAUGACAGUACCGGGAGAAUAAGCUCCGGCUAACUACGUG
rnacentral:rRNA from 1 species